rnacentral:rRNA from 1 species
UCUGGUUGAUCCUGCCAGUAAUAUAUGCUUGUCUCAAAGAUUAAUCCAUGCAUGUCUAAGUAUAAAUAGUAUACCUUAAAACUGCAAAUGGCUCAUUAAAACAGUUAUAGUUUAUUUGAUAAUCAAACGCUACAUGGAUAACCGUGGUAAUUCUAGAGCUAAUACAUGCUGAUAACCCGGCGCAAGUCGCGGUUGUAUUUAUUAGAUAUUAAACCAAUAUGUUAAUAGCAUUUUGAAGGAAUUACAGUAACUGAUCGAAUCCUUGCUUGUCGAGGAUAAAUCAUUCAAGUUUCUGCCCUAUCAGCUUUCGAUGGUAGUGUAUUGGACUACCAUGGCGAUUACGGGUAACGGAGAAUUAGUGUUCGAUUCCGGAGAGGGAGCCUGAGAAACGGCUACCACAUCUAAGGAAGGCAGCAGGAGCGUAAAUUACCCAAUGUCGACUCGAUGAGCGUAGUGACAAUACAUAACAAAGAGGGGAUUUUUUAUCUUACUCUAUUGCAAUGAGGCAUGUUUAAUAACCUGUUCGAGCAACCAGUGAAGGGCAAGUCUGGUGCCAGCAGCCGCGGUAAUUCCAGCUUCACGAGUGUAUAUUUAAGUUGUUGCAGUUAAAAAGCUCGUAGUUGAACUUCUGUUUGUUCAGGAGGCGUGCGAGCGCAGCCUGGGCGAACAUCCGCCUGAAAAAUCAUUCGGGUCUUCACUGAUUCAGUGAUGGAUCAGGCAUUUUACUUUGAAAAAAUUAGAGUGUUCAAAGCAGGCUUUCGCCUGAAUACAUUAGCAUGGAAUAAUAGAAUAGGACGCUGUUCAAUUUGUUGGUUAUUGAAUUGCGUAAUGAUUAAUAGGGACAGUUGGGGGCAUUUGUAUUUAAUUGUCAGAGGUGAAAUUCUUGGAUUUAUUAAAGACAAACUUAUGCGAAAGCAUUUGCCAAGGAUGUUUUCAUUAAUCAAGAACGAAAGUUAGAGGAUCAAAGACGAUCAGAUACCGUCCUAGUUUUAACUAUAAACUAUGCCGACUCGGUCUCAGUCAAGUCUUCCUAACUUGAUUGGUGCCGUAUGAGAAAUCAAAGUCUUUGGGUUCCGGGGGGAGUAUGGUCGCAAGGUUGAAACUUAAAGGAAUAGACGGAACAUCACUACCAGGUGUGGAUCCUGCGGCUUAAUUUGACCCAACACGGGGAAACUUACCAGCGCAAAACAAGGGUGGGAUUGACAGAUUGAGAGCUCUUUCUUGAUUCUUUGGAUAGUGGUGCAUGGCCGUUCUUAGUUGGUGGAGUGAUUUGUCUGCUUAAUUGCGUUAACGAACGAGAC